UCCACCAGCAAUUCAUACUAUUUCUCUCCACACCAAUAGUACAAUCCAGAAACUCCUAUAAUCAUCUUCUUCCUUUUCAUGUUCCUCUCAAACUCAGAGACCUUGAAUUCGCCUUUCUUUCAGAUUUCUCCAUUUCAUUCCAAGUCGUCUAUGCUGAUUUCAUCGUUUCUCAAUAAUAUAUAUGAGAGAACACAAGCAUGGGCAUGUGCUAUUAGGUGGAGCUUAAGGAGAUCUUAUAAGUGACUUAGCCAUGGUACCUCAAACAUAGUAAGGGGACUGCGAGGGAACUUAGUUGAACCAUUUUCUCCUGAUGUCUCGGUGCACAGACCUCUUGUGCUUGUAUAAAAUUUCUCACUGCAUCAUUCCGUGAUAAUGCUGCACGUAAACAAAAAGAAGAAACAAUUAUUUGGAAUAUUAUCACUUGUGCAUAACAUAGAUACAGGUAUUUCAAUUUGUCAAUAUGCAUGCAUGUCCUUGGUAUGUUGAGAGCUUUAGUUUUUGCAGGACUCAAAAUUGUGUACAGAUGCUAGCAUGAUUUUACAUCCUCUGUUAGACGUUAGAUGUUAACAAUAAUUCCAUGGACUUCAGAAUCCUUUUUCAAGGCCGCAAGGAAUUUCACUUUGAAUUAUUUUAUUUUCAAGCUCUUUUGCGAAAUUAUUUCUUGGUAGAAGGGAAUUCAGAUUCUUCUAAAGUGUUUUUUCAUAUGUUAAAGAGAAGCAAGAACAUGUGGAGUGCAUUUUCCGAGCAAGAUGCAUAAGAAUGGACUAUCAUUAGUUGAUAGACACACCCAUUAAUGAGUACUUGUGUGCGUGUGAAUGAUUGACCUUGUGCUUGAAUAAGAAAUUUAUGAAAACCUUUCUUUGUUAAGUUUUAUGUAUUUGUAGAUUGAUGACUCAUGUUGCAUAGAUGAUGCAUUCAGGGAAAGACAGAAACAAUGUGUCAUGCCCAAGUUCAUCUUAUCUAUUGUACUGUUUCUCAAGCCUUUCUGUAAAAUUUAGAAUAUGAUAUUGGGUGGACUUUGUGUUCUUAAGGAAUUAUUGCAUCUUUAAGCAACCUUGGCCGGAAGGAUAUGAAAUAUUAAAC